rnacentral:tRNA from 1 species
CCUCUCGUGGCGUAGCGGUAACGCAGCAUAUCUAGCAAACUGGGAAUCGUGAGUUCGAUUCUCACCGAGAAGA